AGCACGUCUUGGCUCUUUUGGCUAAGAUCAAAUGCAUAUCUUCUGAUCAGCUGAAAUUUUGAUAUGUCAUCUAUCCAAGAACAGUAGAUUUAAUGGAAUUUUUGGAGCAGGGAGAUAGAGUAGGAGAUUGGUGUAGCCACUCAGUGCACCUACUUAGUAUUCCUGGCAUUGCAGUACUUCCAGGAAUGGUGAGAUAGU
ensembl:snRNA U2 U2 spliceosomal RNA